rnacentral:rRNA from 1 species
GACGAACGCUGGCGGCGUACUUAACACAUGCAAGUCGAACGGUAAGGCCCUUCGGGGUACACGAGUGGCGAACGGGUGAGUAACACGUGGGUGAUCUGCCCUGCACUUCGGGAUAAGCCUGGGAAACUGGGUCUAAUACCGGAUAGGACCACUGCCUGCAUGGGUGGUGGUGGAAAGCUUUUGCGGUGUGGGAUGGGCCCGCGGCCUAUCAGCUUGUUGGUGGGGUGAUGGCCUACCAAGGCGACGACGGGUAGCCGGCCUGAGAGGGUGACCGGCAACACUGGGACUGAGAUACGGCCCAGACUCCUACGGGAGGCAGCAGUGGGGAAUAUUGCACAAUGGGCGCAAGCCUGAUGCAGCGACGCCGCGUGAGGGAUGACGGCCUUCGGGUUGUAAACCUCUUUCAGCACCGACGAAGCGCAAGUGACGGUAGGUGCAGAAGAAGGACCGGCCAACUACGUGCCAGCCGCCGCUGUAA